rnacentral:rRNA from 1 species
AUCGAACGCUGGCGGCAGGCCUAAUACAUGCAAGUCGAACGAGUGGCGGACGGGUGAGUAAUGUUUGGGAAACUGCCUGAUGGAGGGGGAUAACUACUGGAAACGGUAGCUAAUACCGCAUACCAUCAGAUGUGCCUAGACGGGAUUUGCUAGUAGGUGGGGUAACGGCUCACCUAGGCGACGAUGCCUAGCCGGGCUGAGAGGAUGACCCGCCACACUGGAACUGAGACACGGUCCAGACUCCUACGGGAGGCAGCAGUAGGGAAUAUUGCACAAUGGACGCAAGCCUGAUGCAGCCAUGCCGCGUGUAUGAAGAAGGCCUUCGGGUUGUAAAGUACUUUCGGCGGGGAAGCGUUACCCACAGAGAAAGCACCGGCUAACUCCGUGCCAGCAGCCGCGGUAAUAC